UUGCUUCCUUUGGCAUCACAUACACUAAAACUGGAAUGUUACAGAGAGGAUAAGAAUUGCCCACGUACAAGGAUGACAUACAAAUUUGUGAAUUGUUGCCAUUGGUC